GCGGGGAUAGCUCAGUUGGGAGAGCGUCAGACUGAAGAUCUGAAGGUCGGUCACGUGUUCAAUCCACGUUCACCGCA